AUGGGCCGCCGCCGCCGCCAACCCUCCUCGCCGUCGCCGGCGGCGGAGCAUCCGCUGGAAGACGACGACCUACUGCGCGAGAUCAUCCUCCGCCUACCCCCACAGCCGCCCUACCUCCUGCGCGCCUCCCUCGUCGGCAAGCGCUGGCGACAGAUCGCCACCGACCCCAAGUUCCUCCGCCGCUUCCGCGUCCACCACCGGAAGCCUCCCCUCCUCGGGGACUUCUCGUAUGAGGACGGGAGACUCUCGUUCAGAUCCACCCUGGACCUGCCCUACCGCAUCCCUCCCGACCACUUCUCCCUACAAGUCAACGGCCGCGUGCCAUGGAGGUUGGUCGACUGCCGCCACGGACGCGUGCUCCUCAUCAACAGCGAGAUGCGUCAGGUCAUUGUGUGGGACCCCUUGACUGGCGACCGCUCCCUCCUGUCCCCUCCGCCGGCGUUUGACGACAUGCACACUGCAGCGGUGCUCUGCGCUGCCGGCGAGCAGGGCCACGCGCAUGGUGCCUGCCACUCGAGCCCUUUUAAAGUGGUCGUGGUGGACAUCUGCGAGCACGGCGAUGAAACCGUCGUCUUCGUGAGUGUUUACUCAUCAGAGACUGGCGUAUGGAGUGAUCUCCUCUCAACAACGCUUGCAUCUAUGGGCAUUGCUGUUGGUAAUCGCAGCACACUUGUUGGUAACACCCUUCGCUGGUUGCUUCUGAUGAGUAACAACAUACUUGAGUUUGAUAUGGAUAGACAGACGCUAGCUGUGAUCAAAAGGACACCUGGUGUUCGUGCGGAUGACAGUGCUUGGAUCAUCCAGGCAGACGAUGGCGGUGUUGGCUUCUCUGCUUUGUCGUGCGCCCACUGCCAGUAUGUCUACUGCUACCACCAACCCUGUUUCCGAAUGUGGGAUAGGAAGGACAAUUGCUAUGGUGUUGCCGUAUGGAUGUUGAGGAAAUCCAUUGAACUGCAGAAGCUAAUUGGGUUGGGGUUUAAGAUUGAGAGGAACUGGUCACAUAUAGUGCGUUAG
rnacentral:rRNA from 1 species